UCAGCUCCUACCUCGGGACCAUGUUUUGGGACAAUCGUAUCGUCGUCUGCAUGAAGCACUGUCAUCAUCUAGCGGAUGUUUCUAACAAUUCAUACGAUUGUCCAGUUUGCCGCUAGAUGGUAUUGGUAUUGUUUAUAAAAAUGGCGAAAUGUCUGAAGUGUUUUGUCAUCUUCUGUUUUCGAAUUUUCCUGUUUCACUGCCCAAAAUCAACCAAUUAUUUACAUAAAAUGUACCCGCCGUCUAGUCAACAGAUUAAAUUUGGACCCAUUUUAAAAACCAAUUGCUUAACCCUUCUAUGACUCACACGCUCAGCUUCAUCUGCAUGAUCCUCUCACAUCUUAGACAAAACUGCAAGCUGUUAUGCCCAAAAGUUGUGGCAUUGCAUGUAAGGUUAAAGGUUCCUUCUAGCCUGAAAGAUGUUUACACCUUUAAACAUGUUUGGUGGGGUUGUUGCGUCAUGAAAUUGUAUUGCUGCCAUUCCCUGCAUCUCCCACUUCAUAGCUACAAGAAAUGAGCCGAACAACAGAAAAAAGCCUACAACAGAUUGAGGAAUUCAUAGGUUGUGUGGUAUGUCAUUGGAUCCAUUGGAUUUCGCGAGUCAACCACCGAUUUCAAUCUACAGCGCAGUUUCUUUAUUGGAAUUGUGUGGUCCUGGCACAGAGAUCCUUGAUGCUGGCCUUUGUCCAUUACAGAAGAGUGACUUCUA